AGAGUUUGAUCCUGGCUCAGGACGAACGCUGGCGGCGUGCCUAAUACAUGCAAGUUGAGCGCUGAAGGUUGGUACUUGUACCGACUGGAUGAGCAGCGAACGGGUGAGUAACGCGUGGGGAAUCUGCCUUUGAGCGGGGGACAACAUUUGGAAACGAAUGCUAAUACCGCAUAACAACUUUAAACACAAGUUUUAAGUUUGAAAGAUGCAAUUGCAUCACUCAAAGAUGAUCCCGCGUUGUAUUAGCUAGUUGGUGAGGUAAAGGCUCACCAAGGCGAUGAUACAUAGCCGACCUGAGAGGGUGAUCGGCCACAUUGGGACUGAGACACGGCCCAAACUCCUACGGGAGGCAGCAGUAGGGAAUCUUCGGCAAUGGACGAAAGUCUGACCGAGCAACGCCGCGUGAGUGAAGAAGGUUUUCGGAUCGUAAAACUCUGUUGGUAGAGAAGAACGUUGGUGAGAGUGGAAAGCUCAUCAAGUGACGGUAACUACCCAGAAAGGGACGGCUAACUACGUGCCAGCAGCCGCGGU
rnacentral:rRNA from 1 species